rnacentral:rRNA from 1 species
AUGGGAUCGUUGAGCGAGCGAGCUAGGAAGAGAGUGUUCUUCGUGCACACCCCAGAGUUCGAACCUCACAAGGGUUUGCCGGAACCCGUAAUCCGACAUUUGGCACGCCAGGUAGGGGUGCGUCGAAGCUUUGCCUGUCUGCCCGCUUCGCUUCUCCAUCCAGCUCCCAUGGCGAGCGUCGCUCCUCCUUCCGAAGCAACAGGCCCGCGCGGGGGCGCUGUGGGGCUCCGAGCCUUCACCCCCGCCUUGCGGCAGGUACGGUGGCCGCACAAGUUCAAGCCGAAGAUGCCACCUCGCUACUUCGGCGCGGCGGAUCUAGCGACCUUCCUCCAGGCGUACGAGGAGGCCAUUCGGGAGGCCGGAGGCGACGACCAGGUCAUGGCCAACUGGCUCCCCAUGGCCCUCGCUGGCGUGCCGCGCGCCUGGUUGCUCAACCUGCCGGAGUCCUCUGUGGCCUCCUGGGAGGAGCUGCGCGACCUUUUUAUCGCGCGCUUCGCGGCACCGGCGCCCCCCGCCGUCGCGGCCCUCCUGGGUGGUUCACAGGCGCCGCCCUCGGAUCGCCACGUCAAGCAGUUCGUCCGCCAGAUGGGCGCCGCACGUGUACAACAGGGGACUCCUCCGGGAUGGGCGGUACCCAAGGCCGACCUCACCUUCGACUCGGGGGACUAUCUAGCGACCACCGCAGGCACGGGUGCGCUCCCGAUGCUCUGCACACCCACCCUCAUCAACGGAGGAGCCGGCCUCAACAUGCUCUCCGUGGAAGCCUUCAGCUUGCUCCACGUGCCGCUCGGCCGGCUCCAUCACGCCAAGCCCUUCUCCGGAGUUGGUGGUGGUUCCACCAACCCCCUAGGGCAGAUCCGCCUCCCCGUCACCUUCGGCACCCGCGACAACUACCGCACCGAGCUUAUCGACUUCGACAUCGCCCGCAUCGGCCUCCCGUACAACGCCAUCCUCGGGUACCCUACCCUGGCUCAGUUCAUGGCGGCAACCCAUCCCGCCUACAACCUCAUGAAGAUGUCGGCGAGCAGCGGUGUCCCUACCGUGGCCGGAGACGCCAAGGAGGCCUUGACGGCCCUCAGGCUCGCCUUCAGGGUCGCAGCGGCAGCUCGCCCCACUGGCGAAGCCGCGGCUAGGGCCCAGGGGGCUGCGCCGGCGAAGAAGCAGUUAUUCUCGCAAGAUUGGGCCAAGACGAAGCAAGUAACGGUCGAGGAUGAUGGGGCCUCGGGAGCCACCUUCACCAUAGGCGCCAACCUCGACCCGGAACAAGAAGAGGCACUGGUGAAAUUCCUGCGCGCGAACAAGGAGGUAUUCGCCUGGGAGCCCAAGCAGCUGGUGCGGGUCCCAAGGGAGUAA